rfam:Bipolaris zeicola 26-R-13 unplaced genomic scaffold scaffold_118, whole genome shotgun sequence.
ACAUACGACCAUCGGCAAAAUGCAGCACUGGCUCUCGUUGGAUCGCCAUACGUUAAGUCUUUGACCGGCGGAUCAGUAGUCAGUUGGGUGACCACUGGCGAAUCCCCGCUGUUGUAUGUU